AGAUCGUGAUGUGGGCAAUUCCUUAGUAAACCUUUAUAUCUCUCCCAUGCCUCAUAAAGGGACUCUCCAGCUUGCUGUUCAAAGUUAGCUAUGACUUUCUUCAACUU